rnacentral:rRNA from 1 species
AUCCAGAGAACUUAGCAGAGAUGCUUUGGUGCCUUCGGGAACUCUGAGACAGGUGCUGCAUGGCUGUCGUCAGCUCGUGUUGUGAAAUGUUGGGUUAAGUCCCGNAACGAGCGCAACCCUUAUCCUUGUUGCCAGCGGCUCGGCCGGGAACUCAAAGGAGACUGCCGGUGAUAAACCGGAGGAAGGUGGGGAUGACGUCAAGUCAUCAUGGCCCUUACGGCCAGGGCUACACACGUGCUACAAUGGCGCAUACAAAGAGAAGCGACCUCGCGAGAGCAAGCGGACCUCAUAAAGUGCGUCGUAGUCCGGAUUGGAGUCUGCAACUCGACUCCAUGAAGUCGGAAUCGCUAGUAAUCGUAGAUCAGAAUGCUACGGUGAAUACGUUCCCGGGCCUUGUACACACCGCCCGUCACACCAUGGGAGUGGGUUGCAAAAGAAGUAGGUAGCUUAACCUUCGGGAGGGCGCUUACCACUUUGUGAUUCAUGACUGGGGUGAAGUCGUAACAAGGUAGGCGUACGUGU